GGAUUAGAUACCCUGGUAGUCCACGCCGUAAACGAUGUCUACUAGUUGUUGGGAGACUUGUUCUCUUAGUAACGAAGCUAACGCGAUAAGUAGACCGCCUGGGGAGUACGGCCGCAAGGUUAAAACUCAAAUGAAUUGACGGGGGCCCGCACAAGCGGUGGAGCAUGUGGUUUAAUUCGAUGCAACGCGAAGAACCUUACCUGGUCUUGACAUCCCAAGAAUCCUUUGGAGACAGAGGAGUGCCUUCGGGAACUUGGAGACAGGUGCUGCAUGGCUGUCGUCAGCUCGUGCCG
rnacentral:rRNA from 1 species